AUUGAACGCUGGCGGCAGGCUUAACACAUGCAAGUCGAGCGGGGUGAUGGUGCUUGCACUAUCACUUAGCGGCGGACGGGUGAGUAAUGCUUAGGAAUCUGCCUAUUAGUGGGGGACAACAUCUCGAAAGGGAUGCUAAUACCGAAUACGUCCUACGGGAGAAAGCAGGGGAUCACUUGUGACCUUGCGCUAAUAGAUGAGCCUAAGUCGGAUUAGCUAGUUGGUGGGGUAAAGGCCUACCAAGGCGACGAUCUGUAGCGGGUCUGAGAGGAUGAUCCGCCACACUGGGACUGAGACACGGCCCAGACUCCUACGGGAGGCAGCAGUGGAGAAUAUUGGACAAUGGGGGGAACCCUGAUCCAGCCAUGCCGCGUGUGUGAAGAAGGCCUUAUGGUUGUAAAGCACUUUAAGCGAGGAGGAGGCUCUUUUGGUUAAUACCCAAGAUGAGUGGACGUUACUCGCAGAAUAAGCACCGGCUAACUCUGUGCCAGCAGCCGCCGUAA
rnacentral:rRNA from 1 species